UGCAUCGGCCGGGAAUCGAACCUGGGCCGCCCGCGUGGUAGGCGAGCAUUCUACCACUGAACCACCGAUGG
rnacentral:tRNA from 1 species